GACGAACGCUGGCGGCGUGCUUAACACAUGCAAGUGGUGCGACGAACCAGGCUUCGGCCUGGGGCGAAGCCGCGAACGGGUGAGUAACACGUGGGCAAUCUGCCCCUUAGAUCGGGACAACCCGGGGAAACCCGGGCUAAUACCGAAUGAGGUGGCGACUCAUGAGAGUCGUCACGAAAGGAAGCUUCGGCCUCCGCGAAGGGAUGAGCCCGCGGCCCAUUAGCUUGUUGGUGGGUGAAGGGCCUACCAAGGCAACGAUGGGUAGCUGGUCUGAGAGGAAGAUCAGCCACACGGGGACUGAGGCACGACCCAGACUCCUACGGGAGGCUGCAGUGGGGAAUCUUGCGCAAUGAGCGACAGCUUGACGCAGCAACGCCGCGUGAGGGAAGAAGGCUUUCGGGUCGUAAACCUCUUUCAGUUAGGACGAAGCUUUAUUGGUUAAUAACCAAUUGGAGUGACGGUACUUUCAGAAGAAGCCCCGGCUAACUACGUGCCAGCAGCCGCCGUAA
rnacentral:rRNA from 1 species